AGUGAACGCUGGCGGUAUGCCUAACACAUGCAAGUCGAACGGCAGCACAGUAAGAGCUUGCUCUUACGGGUGGCGAGUGGCGUACGGGUGAGGAAUAUAUCGGAAUCUACUUUUUCGUGGGGGAUAACGUAGGGAAACUUACGCUAAUACCGCAUACGACCUACGGGUGAAAGCAGGGGAUCUUUUGACCUUGCGCGAUUGAAUGAGCCGAUGUCGGAUUAGAUAGUUGGCGGGGUAAAGGCCCACCAAGGCGACGAUCCGUAGCUGGUCUGAGAGGAUGAUCAGCGACGCUGGAAGUGAGACAGGGUCCAGACGCCUACGGGAGGCAGCAGUGGGGAAUAUGGGACAAAGGGGGCAAGCCUGAUACAGCCAUACCGCGUGGGUGAAGAAGGCCUUCGGGUUGUAAAGCCCUUUUGUUGGGAAAGAAAAGCAGCAGGUUAAUACGCCGCUGUUCUGACGGUACCGAAAGAAUAAGCACCGGCUAACUUCGUG
rnacentral:rRNA from 1 species